UACGAGGGGGGCAAGCGUUAUCCGGAAUUAUUGGGCGUAAAGAGCUCGUAGGCGGUUUGUCGCGUCUGCCGUGAAAGUCCGGGGCUCAACUCCGGAUCUGCGGUGGGUACGGGCAGACUAGAGUGAUGUAGGGGAGACUGGAAUUCCUGGUGUAGCGGUGAAAUGCGCAGAUAUCAGGAGGAACACCGAUGGCGAAGGCAGGUCUCUGGGCAUUAACUGACGCUGAGGAGCGAAAGCAUGGGGAGCGAACAGG
rnacentral:rRNA from 1 species